rnacentral:rRNA from 1 species
UACGUAGGGGGCAAGCGUUAUCCGGAUUUACUGGGUGUAAAGGGAGCGUAGACGGCGAUGCAAGCCAGAUGUGAAAGCCCGCGGCUCAACUGCGGUAGUGCAUUUGGAACUGGAUGGCUGGAGUGCAGGAGAGGUGAGCGGAAUUCCUAGUGUAGCGGUGGAAUGCGUAGAUAUUAGGAGGAACACCAGAGGCGAAGGCGGCUCACUGGACUGUAACUGACGCUGAGGCUCGAAAGCGUGGGGAGCAAACAGG